CUUUAUCAGGCAUCUUAUU
rnacentral:tRNA from 1 species